AAUUCCCCAAAGACAACGUCAGUUCCCAAACACCCCUUUUCACUUCAUCUCCCUCAUCUCAAAAGCCCUAAGCCGCCGCCCUUGAAUUCUCCACUCGCCGGCCGGCGGCGCCGGCUCAUACCAGCCUCAAACUCACACCCCAAAAUCCUCACAACCUCCCUUUUCCCAAUCCCUAACUAAUAUCUCUCGAAUCGUCACAAAACAGAGCCGAUUUCAAAUCUAAAAAAAGACAGAAAAACAAAAGAAAAAAUCUCUUGAUUUCUUCAAGUUUGAAUGACCGGUUAGGGUCUAAAUUGUUGUUUCUCCCUUGUUUUUAACAAGAACCCGCGACGAAUACCAAUUUCGGCUCGAAAUCGGGAUAGUAGAGGUCCGUUCAAAGCAAUGACAGAGGUUCAUCCACUUCUUGUUUAGGUAUAUGUUUCUGAAUCCUGCCUAAUGUGAGGCUCGAUUUGAAGUAUGGAGUUGAAAUCUUGAGUUUUAAGCAUAGCCUCAACUUACUUGUUCAUAGUUUAGCUUUACUUUUCUGAAUUACAUUGUACUAAUUUAUCUGAUGCAUUGUAUUUUGUCUUGUUGCUGCUAGUACUCUCUUAAGAGCUGUAUUUGAUCUGUACUUAGCAUGGAAUUCAAUUUUCAAUCAAGUAUCUUUUAGCUAGAUGUUGGUUUUGACAACUGAACUCGUACCAUUGUAUCUGAUCUUAGACUAUUAUGAUAGAAGCGUGAUGAACAACCUACUUAGUCGAAUCAGUAGCUAUUCUGCAAUCAACCAUGUUAAAUAGUGUAA